CCUACGGGGGGCAGCAGUGGGGAAUAUUGCACAAUGGGGGAAACCCUGAUGCAGCGACGCCGCGUGAGUGAAGAAGUAUUUCGGUACGUAAAGCUCUAUCAGCAGGGAAGAAAAAAAGUCCUUUGGACUUUGAACGGUACCUGACCAAGAAGCCCCGGCUAACUCCGUGCCAGCAGCCGCGGUAAUAAGCAGGGGGCAAGCGUUAUCCAGAUUUACGGGGUGUACAGGGAACGUAGACGGAUGCGCAAGACGGAGGUGAAAUGCCGGGCCCAACCCUCGGAACUGUUUGGUAAACUGUGCAGCUGGAGUGCAGGAGAGGUAACUGGAAUUCCUAGUGUAGGGGUGAAAUGCGUAGAUAUUAGGAGGAACACCAGUGGCGAAGGCGGCUUACUGGACUGUAACUGACGUUGAGGCUCGAAAGCGUAGGGAGCAAACAGGAUUAGAUACCCCAGUAGUC
rnacentral:rRNA from 1 species